rnacentral:rRNA from 1 species
UACAGAGGGUGCGAGCGUUGUCCGGAAUCACUGGGCGUAAAGGGCGCGUAGGCGGUCUGCUAAGCGUGUGGUGAAAGCUCGGGGCUCAACCCCGAGUCGGCCGUGCGAACUGGUGGACUGGAGCCGAUCAGAGGCAGGCGGAAUUCCGGGUGUAGCGGUGGAAUGCGUAGAGAUCCGGAAGAACACCGGUGGCGAAGGCGGCCUGCUGGGAUCGAGC